rnacentral:rRNA from 1 species
UACGAAGGGUGCAAGCGUUACUCGGAAUUACUGGGCGUAAAGCGUGCGUAGGCGGUUUGUUAAGUCUGUCGUGAAAGCCCUGGGCUCAACCUGGGAAUUGCGAUGGAUACUGGCAAGCUAGAGUACGGUAGAGGAUGGUGGAAUUCCCGGUGUAGCGGUGAAAUGCGUAGAGAUCGGGAGGAACACCUGUGGCGAAGGCGGCCGGCUGGGGGUGCCCUGACGCUGAGGCGCGAAAGCGUGGGGAGCGAACCGG